rnacentral:rRNA from 1 species
UACGUAGGGGGCAAGCGUUGUCCGGAUUUACUGGGCGUAAAGAGCGUGUAGGCGGCCACGCAGGUCCGUUGUGAAAACUGGAGGCUCAACCUCCAGCUGUCGACGGAAACCGUAUGGCUAGAGUCCGGAAGAGGAGAGUGGAAUUCCUGGUGUAGCGGUGAAAUGCGCAGAUAUCAGGAAGAACACCCGUGGCGAAGGCGGCUCUCUGGUACGUGACUGACGCUGAGACGCGAAAGCGUGGGGAGCGAACAGG